GUAGACGGCGUGAAAACGGAAACAAGUAUGCUGGCUCACUGUGCUGCAUACAAUUACACACUGCGUCGUGCGAUUGAGACAAGGAAACUUGGAAUGACUUUUCAUAGGUUUCCCAGAGACUAUGGGUUGAGGAGGAAUUGGAAGUUUGUCGGCUUAGACCUGGUGUCAUUCCAUCAAUGUUAAACUUCCCGGCUCAUCUUGGAAGAGUACGUGCCAGAAAGACCACGACCAAGCAGCCUUGAGAUCUUAGGCAGAGUCUCCCUCAGGUCCCUCUCUAUCUCCCCACACAUCCACCAACCACUGGAACACAUCUCCAAAGUUCUGCCGGGCCAGCUCAGCUUCCCCUCAGAAGAAGUGCUGCCACCUGCCAGAUGAAGGAGCCUUUUGAGAAGCAGCUGGCAUCGUGAUUGGACUGUACUUUGGUCUGUUCCAAUCCAGCUUCAGCUCCAGAGACGGCAGGCGGGACGAGUCAACGGAGGCCGGGUGGACGAAGGCAUGCAGCUGAGUACAAUCCAGAAAACAACAGAGGAGGAGUGCAGCAGCUCAGGGCCAGAACAGAGUAGCAUCACCAAAGAACUACAGACUCUUCACAACCUGCUCAAACUCUUGGUACAGGACCUCACCACACGGGUCAAGAAGGUUUCCGUCUCAUUUCUACUCUGA
ensembl:lncRNA